rnacentral:rRNA from 1 species
UACGUAGGGUGCGAGCGUUAAUCGGAAUUACUGGGCGUAAAGCGUGCGCAGGCGGUUUUGUAAGACAGAGGUGAAAUCCCCGGGCUCAACCUGGGAACUGCCUUUGUGACUGCAAAGCUGGAGUACGGCAGAGGGGGAUGGAAUUCCGCGUGUAGCAGUGAAAUGCGUAGAUAUGCGGAGGAACACCGAUGGCGAAGGCAGUCCCCUGGGCCUGUACUGACGCUCAUGCACGAAAGCGUGGGGAGCAAACAGG